rnacentral:lncRNA from 1 species
UUAAUAUUCCUCUUCUGAAAUCGAAAUCAUUUCCCCCUUUCCUUAUUUCUCUUUCGAUUCACAAAUGGAAGGGUUUGGGAAAUGAUAGUCACCGAGUGACUUUAGGGGAGGAGUGUGGAGAAAGAGUUGGAAAGAAUGCUCUAUGUGAGGAGGGGUGGGAGGGUUUGCGGUAAUGAGAGUGAGAAGAUUUAGGGUUUAGUGAAAGGGUUCGAAAGACUGCUCUUUGUGAGGUGUGAAUGGGUCAGCUUUCCAAAGAGGUAAAAGUGAGGUUUUCAAAGGGAUCAAAAGAAAAAAAAAAUUGAAAAAAAA